AUGAAUGCAGCAAGGAUUAGAGAAGGGAAUUUAUUAAGGGCUGACAGAGUUGCUACUGCACAUAAGGCCAAACCAAGAGAGUUCCAAAUAGAAAAUAGAGUUGACAACAAGCGUGCCAAUGCAUCAAAGGGUAUGAACAAGGAUGCAACAUCUAAAUGCUCACAACAAAUAAACUAUCAGGCUGGCACUCCCGUAUACAUAAAGAGCUGGAGACAUAAAAGUAAGAAUGUUGCCUUAGGGACAAUACUGAGUGUUGAUCCAAAUCAGAAAGUUGGAGGCCUUGAGCUAGGCAAAGAAUUUUAUAUGCUGCGUGUUGGUCUUACCUCUGUGCCUGAUGAGCCACUAAUACGAUCAUAUGACAACUUCCAAGUUAUCGGAGACGUAGGCAAAAAUCCUAUAGCAUGGCCUUCAAGUUGUGUUGCAAAGAGUGUCAGCCAAUCAUAUUGAUUUAGCCAGAUUUGUGUGACUUUGAACUCAUCAUACUUGCUGAUGCAAUUAUCUAGACCAAACCUAUCUGUUAAGUAUACAUUUUGUCAAUUAAUCAAGCAAUGCCUCUUUGUAAUUAUUUUGUGAACCUGAAAAGUAAAUGACUACUCCCUCCAGUUUAUCAUUCAAUCUCUCCAGUUUAUCAUUCAAGUUGAGUUUAGAUUCUUCCCUAAAUGUUAUUUUUAAUUCAUUUUCAGGUUGGAACCCAUAGAAUGCAAGGUCUACUGGAAUGGUGCUUUCACUGGUCAUUUGAAUUGGUUCAAGAGAAGAGUCGAUUGCAACUAGACUCCUAUAUGUAUAUGUUGCUUUCACAGAAAACAUGUUUUAGAACACACAUUAUGUGAUAGAUUAUGUUUUGGAUGAAACUCUGUAAUCGGAUAUUUUGUUUUAAAUAUAGAAUUUAGAGUUGUGCGCAUUUAGCAUUGUGUCUUAUGAUGAUGGAAAAAUUC